GGUUUUGUAGCUUUGAGGGAAAGUAGCGCCCGUCUAUCGAAAUGAGAGUCGUGGGUUCGAUUCCCACCGGAGCUC
rnacentral:tRNA from 1 species